UACGUAGGGUGCGAGCGUUGUCCGGAAUUACUGGGCGUAAAGAGCUCGUAGGUGGUUUGUCGCGUUGUUCGUGAAAUCUCACGGCUUAACUGUGAGCGUGCGGGCGAUACGGGCAGACUAGAGUACUGCAGGGGAGACUGGAAUUCCUGGUGUAGCGGUGGAAUGCGCAGAUAUCAGGAGGAACACCGGUGGCGAAGGCGGGUCUCUGGGCAGUAACUGACGCUGAGGAGCGAAAGCGUGGGGAGCGAACAGGAUUAGAUACCCUGGUAGUCCACGCCGUAAACGGUGGGUACUAGGUGUGGGUUUCCUUCCUUGGGAUCCGUGCCGUAGCUAACGCAUUAAGUACCCCGCCUGGGGAGUACGGCCGNAAGGCUAAAACUC
rnacentral:rRNA from 1 species